rnacentral:antisense_RNA from 1 species
CUCUGGGACCUAUGGCAAAACCCAAAUGAACCACCAACUGUAAUGGUCUAUUUUCUUGGGCUCAGAGCAACUAUGUGAACUCAGAAAGAAAUUAUAGGCUUUAAAUGAUCCUUAAUACCCUGCAUUUCAGUGUUACCUACAUAUGCCACCUCAGAGGAUAGCAUUUCUGUAGUAGCUGUGGUAUGACACACUGCCAAGAUUAAUAGGCCUAAUCCAGGGGAAGCUCCCAGGACAACGACAAGAUACAAGGUCUCACUCUGUCACCCAGGCUGGAGCGGUGCCAUCACAGCUCACUGCAGCCUGGACCUCCCAGACUCAAGUGAUUCUCCCACCAGAGCCUCCCAAGUAGCCAGGACUACAGGUGAGUGCUCUGCUAAGCUCUGCAACAAGUUCCAAGCUAGUAGUGGCCAGCUACUCAGCUUUCUCAGGAAACUCACCUUCUCUCCUUGGAGUGAUGGGACUGAGUCCCGCAAACUGUGAAAGCUGUCUUUGAUGUGGUCCCUACGUUUUCGUUCCAGUGCAUUAUGAUGAGCCCGUUUGUCUGCCUAGAAGAAUGGGAGAAAGAACACAUUAGGAAUGUCACUCCUUUUGCUUGGUACA